rnacentral:rRNA from 1 species
UUAUUAUAGCAAAGAGGAUACACCUGUUCCCAUACCGAACACAGAAGUUAAGCUCUUUAGCGCUGAUGGUACUUGGUGGGCGACUGCCUGGGAGAGUAAGGCGUAG